rnacentral:rRNA from 1 species
GACGAACGCUGGCGGCGUGCCUAAUACAUGCAAGUCGAGCGAAGUUUUUCUGGUGCUUGCCCUAGAAAAACUUAGCGGCGAACGGGUGAGUAACACGUAAAGAACCUGCCUCAUAGACUGGGACAACUAUUGGAAACGAUAGCUAAUACCGGAUAACAGCAUUAACUGCAUGGUUGAUGUUUAAAAGUUGGUUUUGCUAACACUAUGAGAUGGCUUUGCGGUGCAUUAGCUAGUUGGUGGGGUAAAGGCCUACCAAGGCGACGAUGCAUAGCCGACCUGAGAGGGUGAUCGGCCACACUGGGACUGAGACACGGCCCAGACUCCUACGGGAGGCAGCAGUAGGGAAUCUUCCGCAAUGGGCGAAAGCCUGACGGAGCAACGCCGCGUGAGUGAAGAAGGAUUUCGGUUCGUAAAGCUCUGUUGUUAGGGAAGAAUGAUUGUGUAGUAACUAUACACAGUAGAGACGGUACCUAAUCAGAAAGCCACGGCUAACUACGUG